rnacentral:rRNA from 1 species
GACGAACCGUCCAAACGUUAUUCGGAAUCACUGGGCUUAAAGGGUGCGUAGGCGGUCCGGGAAGUUGGGUGUGAAAUCCCUCGGCUCAACCGAGGAACUGCGCCCAAAACUGCCGGGCUGGAGGGAGACAUAGGUGAGCGGAACUUAGGGUGGAGCGGUGAAAUGCGUUGAGAUCCUAAGGAACACCAGUAGCGAAAGCGGCUCACUGGGUCUCUUCUGACGCUGAAGCACGAAAGCUAGGGGAGCGAAGAGG